AGAUCAGAUGGAGGGCUGCUUGUGGAUCAGAACAUUCUAGAAGCUUCAGCCAAGUAAGGCUGCAGUGGGCUCAUGCCAUGGGCCCUUCUAACACUU
rnacentral:snoRNA from 1 species